AUUGAACGCUGGCGGCAUGCCUUACACAUGCAAGUCGAACGGCAGCACGGGUGCUUGCACCUGGUGGCGAGUGGCGAACGGGUGAGUAAUACAUCGGAACAUGUCCUGUAGUGGGGGAUAGCCCGGCGAAAGCCGGAUUAAUACCGCAUACGAUCUACGGAUGAAAGCGGGGGACCUUCGGGCCUCGCGCUAUAGGGUUGGCCGAUGGCUGAUUAGCUAGUUGGUGGGGUAAAGGCCUACCAAGGCGACGAUCAGUAGCUGGUCUGAGAGGACGACCAGCCACACUGGGACUGAGACACGGCCCAGACUCCUACGGGAGGCAGAAGUGGGGAAUUUUGGACAAUGGGCGAAAGCCUGAUCCAGCAAUGCCGCGUGGGUGAAGAAGGCCUUCGGGUUGUAAAGCACUUUUGUCCGGAAAGAAAUCCUUGGCCCUAAUACGGUCGGGGGAUGACGGUACCGGAAGAAUAAGCACCGGCUAACUACGUG
rnacentral:rRNA from 1 species